rnacentral:rRNA from 1 species
ACAGGGGGUGCAAACGUUGCUCGGAAUUAUUGGGCGUAAAGCGCACGUAGGCGGCCCUUCAAGUCGGGUGUGAAAGCCCUCGGCUCAACCGAGGAACUGCGCCCGAUACUGUGGGGCUUGAGGGAGACAGAGGUAAGCGGAACUGAUGGUGGAGCGGUGAAAUGUGUUGAUAUCAUCAGGAACACCAGUGGCGAAAGCGGCUUACUGGGUCUCUUCUGACGCUGAGAUACGAAAGCUAGGGGAGCGAACGGGA